rnacentral:rRNA from 1 species
GAUGAACGCUGGCGGCGUGCCUAAUACAUGCAAGUCGAGCGAACGGACGAGAAGCUUGCUUCUCUGAUGUUAGCGGCGGACGGGUGAGUAACACGUGGAUAACCUACCUAUAAGACUGGGAUAACUUCGGGAAACCGUAGCUAAUACCGGAUAAUAUUUUGAACCGCAUGGUUCAAAAGUGAAAGACGGUCUUGCUGUCACUUAUAGAUGGAUCCGCGCUGCAUUAGCUAGUUGGUAAGGUAACGGCUUACCAAGGCAACGAUGCAUAGCCGACCUGAGAGGGUGAUCGGCCACACUGGAACUGAGACACGGUCCAGACUCCUACGGGAGGCAGCAGUAGGGAAUAUUCCGCAAUGGGCGAAAGCCUGACGGAGCAACGCCGCGUGAGUGAUGAAGGUCUUCGGAUCGUAAAACUCUGUUAUUAGGGAAGAACAUAUGUGUAAGUAACUGUGCACAUCUUGACGGUACCUAAUCAGAAAGCCACGGCUAACUACGUG